CCAGGGUCCUCUUUAGUCUCUUGCAGUUCCAAAUUGUGGGUAGUCGGUUGUUAUAUCCAUGGUUCCCAGUCCAUGUGCGGCAAUGUGCAGAUGUGACUUUGGAAGUACUGUAGCCCUGCACUGCUCAACAAAAUCCUUGCUUCUCUCUGAUCAUCCAGUUGCUUUUGGAAAUAUUUUCUCUCUGCCUCCCUGCGUUCACCAUGCC